UACGUAGGGGGCAAGCGUUGUCCGGAAUCAUUGGGCGUAAAGAGCGUGUAGGCGGCCUGGUAAGUCCGCUGUGAAAGUCCAGGGCUCAACCCUGGAAUGCCGGUGGAAACUGUCAGGCUCGAGUCCGGAAGAGGCGAGUGGAAUUCCUGGUGUAGCGGUGAAAUGCGCAGAUAUCAGGAGGAACACCAAUAGCGAAGGCAGCUCGCUGGGACGGUACUGACGCUAAGGCGCGAAAGCGUGGGGAGCGAACAGG
rnacentral:rRNA from 1 species